GGAGGGGUGGCCGAGUGGCUUAAGGCAACGGUCUUGAAAACCGUCGAUGGGCAACCAUCCGAGAGUUCGAAUCUCUCCUCCUCCGCCA
rnacentral:tRNA from 1 species